UACGUAGGGCGCAAGCGUUAUCCGGAAUUAUUGGGCGUAAAGAGCUCGUAGGCGGUUUGUCGCGUCUGCCGUGAAAGUCCGGGGCUCAACUCCGGAUCUGCGGUGGGUACGGGCAGACUAGAGUGAUGUAGGGGAGACUGGAAUUCCUGGUGUAGCGGUGGAAUGCGCAGAUAUCAGGAGGAACACCGGUGGCGAAGGCGGGUCUCUGGGCCGAUACUGACGCUGAGGAGCGAAAGCAUGGGGAGCGAACAGG
rnacentral:rRNA from 1 species